CCUACGGGAGGCAGCAGUGAGGAAUAUUGGUCAAUGGACGAGAGUCUGAACCAGCCAAGUAGCGUGAAGGAUGACUGCCCUAUGGGUUGUAAACUUCUUUUAUAUGGGAAUAAAAUGUUCCACGUGUGGGAUUUUGUAUGUACCAUAUGAAUAAGGAUCGGCUAACUCCGUGCCAGCAGCCGCGGUAAUACGGAGGAUCCGAGCGUUAUCCGGAUUUAUUGGGUUUAAAGGGAGCGUAGGUGGAUUGUUAAGUCAGUUGUGAAAGUUUGAGGCUCAACCGUAAAAUUGCAGUUGAAACUGGCAGUCUUGAGUACAGUAGAGGUGGGCGGAAUGCGUGGUGUAGCGGUGAAAUGCUUAGAUAUCACGAAGAACUCCGAUUGCGAAGGCAGUUCACUGGACUGAAACUGACACUGAGGCUCGAAAGUGUGGGUAUCAAACAGGAUUAGAUACCCCAGUAGUC
rnacentral:rRNA from 1 species